AUAAGACUUUCAUCAGGAUCCUGAUGAAAGUCUUAUGUGACAAACGUUGAUCACUUGAUGUUUUAAACCGUUUUUUCAUUAAACUUUAUCCUGAUGAAAGUCUUAUGUUAACGUUUCAGUCACAUAAGACUUUCAUCAGGAUCCUGAUGAAAGU